rnacentral:rRNA from 1 species
UACGUAGGUGGCGAGCGUUGUCCGGAUUUACUGGGCGUAAAGGGAGCGUAGGCGGACUUUUAAGUGAGAUGUGAAAUACCCGGGCUCAACUUGGGUGCCGCAUUUCAAACUGGAAGUCUAGAGUGCAGGAGAGGAGAAUGGAAUUCCUAGUGUAGCGGUGAAAUGCGUAGAGAUAUGGAGGAACACCAGUGGCGAAGGCGGCUUCCUGGUCUGUAACUGACACUGAGGCGCGAAAGCGUGGGGAGCAAACAGGAUUAGAUACCCUGGUA